CAUUUGUUUUUUCGUGUUAAAUGUUUAACUAUUCGUUUUAUUUAAAAAAAUUUUACGAUUAAUAUUUUUGUUCUUAGUAGACGAUAAAACAUGAAUAGUAUUUUAUGUGUGUAAUUUUUUUAAGUUUUUAUAUAAAUUUUUCAAAUAAGACGAAUGGUCAAACGUUACGCACGGAAAAAUAAAAAAUGAUCUUAUU
rnacentral:pre_miRNA from 1 species